rnacentral:tRNA from 1 species
UCUAAAAUGGCAGACAGAGUGCUUAGGAUUUAAGCUCCUACAAGGAAGGUUCACCUUCUUUUAGAA